GACGAACGCUGGACGGCGCGCUUAACACAUGCAAGUCGAGCGAGAACCAGCCCUUCGGGGCUGGGGAAAGCGGCGAACGGGUGAGUAACACGUGGGUAAUCUGCCCUCGGCACCGGAAUAGCCCGGGGAAACCCGGAUUAAUGCCGGAUGGCCUCUCGAGCUCUCGAGCUCGUGAGAAAAGGUAGCUUCGGCCUCCGGCCGAGGAUGAGCCCGCGGUCGAUUAGCUUGUUGGUGAGGUAAUGGCNCACCAAGGCGACGAUCGAUAGCUGGUCUGAGAGGACGAUCAGCCACACUGGGACUGAGACACGGCCCAGACUCCUACGGGAGGCAGCAGUGGGGAAUCUUGCGCAAUGGGCGAAAGCCUGACGCAGCGACGCCGUGUGCGGGAAGAAGGCCUGGUGUAACG
rnacentral:rRNA from 1 species